rnacentral:rRNA from 1 species
UAGGGAAUCUUCCACAAUGGACGCAAGUCUGAUGGAGCAACGCCGCGUGAGUGAAGAAGGUUUUCGGACCGUAAAGCUCUGUUGUUGGUGAAGAAGGAUAGAGGUAGUAACUGGCCUUUAUUUGACGGUAAUCAACCAGAAAGUCACGGCUAACUACGUGCCAGCAGCCGCGGUAAUACGUAGGUGGCAAGCGUUGUCCGGAUUUAUUGGGCGUAAAGCGAGCGCAGGCGGAAGAAUAAGUCUGAUGUGAAAGCCCUCGGCUUAACCGAGGAAUUGCAUCGGAAACUGUUUUCUUGAGUGCAGAAGAGGAGAGUAGAACUCCAUGUGUAGCGGUGGAAUGCGUAGAUAUAUGGAAGAAUACCAGUGGCGAAGGCGGCUCUCUGGUCUGCAACUGACGCUGAGGCUCGAAAGCAUGGGUAGCGAACAGGAUUAGAUACCCUGGUAGUCCAUGCCGUAAACGAUGAGUGCUAAGUGUUGGGAGGCUUCCGCCUCUCAGUGCUGCAGCUAACGCAUUAAGCACUCCGCCUGGGGGAGUACGACCGCAAGGUUGAAACUCUAGUGAAUUGAC